GGCCUGGUGGUCUAGUAGUAUGAUUCCUUCUUAGGGCAACUUGAAGUUGAAGAAUUUGGAGGAGGUCCCGGGUUCAAUUCCCGGCCAGGCCC